CUUGCAUAAAUAUUAUUUAUUUAAGAAAAACUCGAGCUUUUGAAGUAUAGGAAUGAAAAUCGAACAAAAAGAUCGAGUUAUGGACAUAAUUCUAAGAAAGGCGACCAACUUGAUACAAAUUGAAAGAUCAAGGGCAUAGAUUACAAUUAUAAUGAACUUUAGCUGACCAAAAGAAAGAAAUCUUGGAACAAACUGCACUAAAUAAAGAGUUGAGCGUUGCAAUUGCAGGGCAAUAGCCCAUGCGAUCGCAAGGGCAUGUUUGGCAAAAACAUAUUUCAACAUCGUUAUGCCAUGGAUCACAAUGUUGCAUACCAUGUGAAUAGCAUGAUGUAAAAAUUCGGCCAUUCUGGGUUCUUCCAAAUUUCAAAAAGCAAUUUGAUCAACGAUUUAACCUACUUUUGAACCUCUAAUUUUGACAUUCAUCAUCUUAAAAUGCAGAAAACAAUUCUAAGAAGAAAUUCAAAACAAGCAGAAAACUUUUUCUCCUCUUUCACGUGCCUUUGACUGUAAGCUACUACACUACUACCCAUAAAGAAAAACCAGAAAACAGUGACAAGAAACCUCGGGAGCAGCAACAUAAUCAUCAAAAUCUUGUCAAAACUCAUUAACAUUCACCUGGCUAAUUUCCCUGUAAUACAUGCAUGCAAAAACAAUAAAAAAACAAAAAA